rnacentral:rRNA from 1 species
ACAUCCAGAGAAUUUAGCAGAGAUGCUUUAGUGCCUUCGGGAACUCUGAGACAGGUGCUGCAUGGCUGUCGUCAGCUCGUGUUGUGAAAUGUUGGGUUAAGUCCCGNAACGAGCGCAACCCUUAUCCUUUGUUGCCAGCACGUAAUGGUGGGAACUCAAAGGAGACUGCCGGUGAUAAACCGGAGGAAGGUGGGGAUGACGUCAAGUCAUCAUGGCCCUUACGAGUAGGGCUACACACGUGCUACAAUGGCGCAUACAAAGAGAAGCGACCUCGCGAGAGCAAGCGGACCUCAUAAAGUGCGUCGUAGUCCGGAUUGGAGUCUGCAACUCGACUCCAUGAAGUCGGAAUCGCUAGUAAUCGUAAAUCAGAAUGUUACGGUGAAUACGUUCCCGGGCCUUGUACACACCGCCCGUCGCACCAUGGGAGUGGGUUGCAAAAGAAGUAGAUAGCUUAACCUUCGGGAGGGCGUUUACCACUUUGUGAUUCAUGACUGGGGUGAAGUCGUAACAAGGUAAGCGUAGUGCU